rnacentral:lncRNA from 1 species
CGGGAGCCCGCGCGUGGUUCCCAGCGAAGUCCCCGCGCGGCUGGGCCCAGCGCUUCUAAUGUGAGGAAAAACACGGAAUGACAAGUGUGGGAAAGAGCAAGCACUAAAUUACUGUCAGAAAAAUAAACGGAGUAGCACAGUGCUGCUCGGUGAUUUACGGGGGCAAUUAGUCACCACCCCACGGCGCUGCUGAGGACAGCACGGCAGCAGACAAGUCAGGCCCAUGAGGAAGAAGAGGCUUUGCACUGCUCUCCAGACAACUUUUCAAACAACAAGAGAGGAUAUUUGAGCACAUUAGGUUUUGUGUCUUCAUUCUGGGUACCUACUCUUCAUAUUAUUCUACCAACUUAAUACAUAAACAUAUUUUUAG